UACGUAGGGUGCGAGCGUUGUCCGGAAUGAUUGGGCGUAAAGAGCUUGUAGGCGGUUUGUCGCGUCUGCCGUGAAAUUUCGAGGCUCAACCUCGAACUUGCGGUGGGUACGGGCAGACUAGAGUGUGGUAGGGGAGACUGGAAUUCCUGGUGUAGCGGUGAAAUGCGCAGAUAUCAGGAGGAACACCGAUGGCGAAGGCAGGUCUCUGGGCCGCUACUGACGCUGAGAAGCGAAAGCAUGGGGAGCGAACAGG
rnacentral:rRNA from 1 species